GACUCUCGGCAACGGAUAUCUCGGCUCUCGCAUAGAUGAAGAACGCAACAAAAUGCGAUACUUGGUGUGAAUUGCAGAAUCCCGCGAACCAUCGAUUUUUUGAACGCAAGUUGCUCCCGAAGCCAUCCGACCGAGGGCACGUCUGCCUGGGUGUCA
rnacentral:rRNA from 1 species